rnacentral:tRNA from 1 species
GGGCCCGUAGCUCAGCCAGGAUAGAGCGCCGGCCUGCGGAGCCGGAGGUCCCGGGUUCAAAUCCCGGCGGGCCCGCCA